rnacentral:rRNA from 1 species
GUGGGGAAUUUUGGACAAUGGGCGCAAGCCUGAUCCAGCCAUGCCGCGUGUGUGAAGAAGGCCUUCGGGUUGUAAAGCACUUUCGGCCGGGACGAAAUCGCUCGGGUUAACACCCAGGGUGGAUGACGGUACCGGAAGAAGAAGCACCGGCUAACUACGUGCCAGCAGCCGCGGUAAUACGUAGGGUGCAAGCGUUAAUCGGAAUUACUGGGCGUAAAGCGUGCGCAGGCGGUUUUGUAAGCCAGACGUGAAAUCCCCGGGCUUAACCUGGGAACUGCGUUUGGAACUGCAAGGCUAGAGUGCGGCAGAGGAAGGUGGAAUUCCUGGUGUAGCAGUGAAAUGCGUAGAUAUCAGGAGGAACACCGAUGGCGAAGGCAGCCUUCUGGGCUAGCACUGACGCUCAUGCACGAAAGCGUGGGGAGCAAACAGGAUUAGAAACCCGGGUAGUCC